UACAGAGGUGCCGAGCGUUAGGCGGAAUCACUGGGCUUAAAGCGUGUGUAGGCGGACCGUUAAGUACCUUGUGAAAUCCCACGGCUCAACCGUGGAACGGCUGGGUAUACUGGCGGUCUUGAGCGGCCUAGGGGCAGAUGGAACAGACGGUGGAGCGGUGAAAUGCGUAGAUAUCGUCUGGAACGCCAAAGGUGAAGACAGUCUGCUGGGGGGCUGCUGACGCUGAGACACGAAAGCCAGGGGAGCGAACGGG
rnacentral:rRNA from 1 species